CGGAGGGUGCAAGCGUUAUCCGGAUUUAUUGGGUUUAAAGGGUCCGUAGGCGGAUCCGUAAGUCAGUGGUGAAAUCUCACAGCUUAACUGUGAAACUGCCAUUGAUACUGCGGGUCUUGAGUAAGGUAGAAGUGGCUGGAAUAAGUAGUGUAGCGGUGAAAUGCAUAGAUAUUACUUAGAACACCAAUUGCGAAGGCAGGUCACUAUGUCUUAACUGACGCUGAUGGACGAAAGCGUGGGAGCGAACAGGAUUAGAUACCCUGGUAGUCCACGCCGUAAACGAUGCUAACUCGUUUUUGGGCUUUCGGGUUCAGAGACUAAGCGAAAGUGAUAAGUUAGCCACCUGGGGAGUACGUUCGCAAGAAUG
rnacentral:rRNA from 1 species